UUCUAACUGACAAGUCCCAAAUAGGACGAAAUGCCAGUCCUGGAU
rnacentral:hammerhead_ribozyme from 1 species